CUUCCAUACCAUGUGAUGCGCGGCACUC
rnacentral:sRNA from 1 species